AUGGCACCAGUUACCGAGUGUCUGAAGAAAGGAAAGUUCCAAUGGACAGAAGUAGCUGAAGCUAGUUUCAAUGAGAUUAAACAAAAACUAUCACAAGCUCCUCUCUUGGUGCUACCUGAUUUCAACAAGACUAUUGAGUUGGAGUGUGAUGCAAGUGGAGUAGGCAUUGGAGCUAUUCUAUCUCAAGAAAGGAAGCCCAUUGCUUUCUUUAGUGAGAAGUUAAGUGAAGCUAGAAAGAAAUGGAGCACCUAUCAGCAAGAAUUGUAUGCCGUUUUCAGAGCCUUGAAAAUUUGGGAAGUUUAUUUGCUACCUAAAGAGUUCAUUGUAUAUAGUGACUAUUAA
rnacentral:rRNA from 1 species